CACACACUACGUCAUCCAAUAACUGAUGGACACUAUAAAGCGGCCAUGGCCGUGGGAGACUGGGUCAGGCAGAGUGUGAGAGAAUAGCUACCUGUGAGAAACCUACGGACAAAGAAAACAUUUCCACAACACGAAGGAUUACAUACUCCCAAGGAAAUAUGGACGGCGUAACAGCGAAUGCAACAGGCAAUACAAAAAUUAACCCGAUUUCCCUGCCCAAGAUGAACUGCGAUGAUCAUAAAGGCUGCCCGCCAUGUGUUAUUCUCUAAGCAUGCAUUCAAUAAACAUCACUGACAGCUGUAAAAGAUCAAUGAAACUACAAAACUGAGAGCUCAGAAUGUCUAAAAUAGCAGGAUAUAUUAAUUGUAAAUCAUAAGACAGUACUGUUAGGUAGCAAUUAAUACAGCUCAUUAUUAUUAUUUUUCUAAACUCCUUUUUUUUAAUCUGUUUCUUAAUUUGUAAUGGUAGUUGUGUUUGUCUAUAUAAAUUAUGGUUUGUUGCUCUCUUAA